GAUGAACGCUGGCGGCGUGCUUAACACAUGCAAGUCAAACGAAGCACUUUAUUUGAUUUCCUUCGGGACUGAUUAUUUUGUGACUGAGUGGCGGACGGGUGAGUAACGCGUGGGUAACCUGCCUUGUACAGGGGGAUAACAGUUGGAAACGGCUGCUAAUACCGCAUAAGCGCACAGCAUCGCAUGAUGCAGUGUGAAAAACUCCGGUGGUAUAAGAUGGACCCGCGUUGGAUUAGCUAGUUGGUGAGGUAACGGCCCACCAAGGCGACGAUCCAUAGCCGACCUGAGAGGGUGACCAGCCACAUUGGGACUGAGACACGGCCCAAACUCCUACGGGAGGCAGCAGUGGGGAAUAUUGCACAAUGGGCGAAAGCCUGAUGCAGCGACGCCGCGUGAGCGAAGAAGUAAUUCGGUAUGUAAAGCUCUAUCAGCAGGGAAGAUAAUGACGGUACCUGACUAAGAAGCACCGGCUAGGUACGUG
rnacentral:rRNA from 1 species